rnacentral:rRNA from 1 species
UACGGAGGAUGCAAGCGUUAUCCGGAAUGAUUGGGCGUAAAGCGUCCGCAGGUGGCAUUUCAAGUCUGCUGUUAAAUAUCGGGGCUCAACUCCGAAAUGGCGGUGGAAACUGGAAAGCUAGAGUGCGAUAGGGGCAGAGGGAAUUCCCAGUGUAGCGGUGAAAUGCGUAGAGAUUGGGAAGAACACCGGUGGCGAAAGCGCUCUGCUAGGUCUGCGCUGACACUAAGGGACGAAAGCUAGGGGAGCGAAUGGG